UACGUAGGGGGCAAGCGUUGUCCGGAAUCAUUGGGCGUAAAGAGCGCGUAGGCGGCCCUGUAAGUCCGCUGUGAAAGUCCAGGGCUCAACCCUGGGAUGCCGGUCGAUACUGCCGGACUAGAGUUCGGAAGAGGCGAGUGGAAUUCCCGGUGUAGCGGUGAAAUGCGCAGAUAUCGGGAGGAACACCUAUGGCGAAAGCGCCUUGCUGGGUCUGCACUGACACUGAGGGACGAAAGCUAGGGGAGCGAAAGGG
rnacentral:rRNA from 1 species